rnacentral:rRNA from 1 species
AGUGAACGCUGGCGGUAGGCCUAACACAUGCAAGUCGAACGGCAGCACAGGAGAGCUUGCUCUCUGGGUGGCGAGUGGCGGACGGGUGAGGAAUACAUCGGAAUCUACUCUGUCGUGGGGGAUAACGUAGGGAAACUUACGCUAAUACCGCAUACGACCUACGGGUGAAAGCAGGGGGCCUUCGGGCCUUGCGCGAUUGAAUGAGCCGAUGUCGGAUUAGCUAGUUGGCGGGGUAAAGGCCCACCAAGGCGACGAUCCGUAGCUGGUCUGAGAGGAUGAUCAGCCACACUGGAACUGAGACACGGUCCAGACUCCUACGGGAGGCAGCAGUGGGGAAUAUUGGACAAUGGGCGCAAGCCUGAUCCAGCUAUACCGCGUGGGUGAAGAAGGCCUUCGGGUUGUAAAGCCCUUUUGUUGGGAAAGAAAUCCAGCUGGCUAAUACCCGGUUGGGAUGACGGUACCCAAAGAAUAAGCACCGGCUAACUUCGUGCCAGCCGCCGCAGUAA